rnacentral:tRNA from 1 species
AUUGUUUUGGUGUUUUAGCAUAUUGGCUUUUCGUGCCAAAGGAAACUUUUAAAGUUAAACAGUA